UGGGGAAUAUUGCACAAUGGGGGAAACCCGUACGAUGCAGCGACGCCGCGUGAGUGAGGAAGUAUUUCGGUAUGUAAAACUACUAUCAGCAGGGAAGAUAAUGACGGUACCUGACUAAGAAGCACCGGCUAAAUACGUGCCAGCAGCCGCGGUAAUACGUAUGGUGCAAGCGUUAUCCGGAUUUACUGGGUGUAAAGGGUGCGUAGGUGGUAUGGCAAGUCAGAAGUGAAAGGCUGGGGGCUUAACCCCGGGACUGCUUUUGAAACUGUCAAACUAGAGUACAGGAGAGGAAAGCGGAAUUCCUAGUGUAGCGGUGAAAUGCGUAGAUAUUAGGAGGAACACCAGUGGCGAAGGCGGCCUGCUGGACUGUAACUGGCGCUG
rnacentral:rRNA from 1 species